ensembl:lncRNA
CGCGCGGAUGCUGAGGAAGCGUGUCCGUGGCGGUGCUGUGCGAGCGGGGUGGGAGGGAGGCGUGCGGGCAUGAGCGAACAUGAGCGAGCAUGAGCGAGCAUGAGCAGGCUCUCCCCGCAGUGGCCGGUGCGGCGGAGCUGCGGAGGCGGAAGCGGUGCGGUCCCCGCAGGGAGGCGUGCGAGCGGGGAGGGAGGAGUGCGAGCGUGCGAGCAUUAACAGUGUUUCUUUCUGGCUUCGGAGGCUGUUCUGGAACUAGCUCUUGCCUCUGCCUACUGAGUGCUGGGAUUAAAGGUGUGAGCCACCACCAUCUGGAAAAGCCAGUAUGUCCCGCGCUAACCGUCUCGCCAGCAAAAACGACACGGGGACACUCCUCAGGAUCCUUCUGCAGUAAAGCUUUAAUGCUUCUUGAGAGGAAGAGCAUCAGCUUACAGAGCGGAGACUCUGAACUCCCAAAAACCCCUCCUUAUAUAGGCUGGCAACCGUCGCCUUAGACUGUUACUCUCUGACUGGAUGAAGCCCGUCGGACCAUAUGACGUCAGCUGAUCGGACUAUAUGAUGUCAUGGGAGGGGCGGAGACUAAGGGCUGGAAAGUUACAAAGUUACCUAUUGCGCAUGCGCACAGCUUCUAACGGCUCCUUACAUAUGCACCAGCUUGUAACGGCUCCUAACACCAGUAGUUUUAUAGAGAGAGGGUUAAGUGUUACCCAGAGUAAAUGGGACUGAGCUCAGACCCUCUGGUAACAUGUCUUUUCCAGUACACUGUGUGGCCAUUUCUGGGAUUUAGUGCAUGUGUGAAUUGGCUGGAGUUGACGUGUACUGGGUACUGUACUGGCUGCUUUUGCUGUCUUAUUGCUAUGAGAAAAUACCUGAUAAAAGCAACCCAAUGAAGGACAGGAUUAUUUUGACUUAGUUUGAAGCUAUUGUCCAUAGCGGCAGAGAAGUCACAGAUAGGAAUUUGAGGCAGAACUGGUCACAUGACAUCCAAAGGCAGCAAGCAGAGGGAGAUGAGCUCUACCUCUCAGCUUCACUUUCUCCUUUUCAUUUGCCCUGAGACCCCCAGCCUACAUGUGGGAUGAUGUCACCCACACUUAGGGUAAGUCUUUUGUCAGUUAAACUCUUCUGGAAAGAGUCUCACAGAUACACUCGGAGUUGUGUUUCCAUGGUGAUUCUAAAUCCAGUCAAGUUGACAGUGAAGAUUCAUCAUCUCUUAGAAAUGUAUUUUCUCAGGGUCCUGGAAGCUGGGGGUCGACUACUAGGCACUACAAUAAUUCAUACAUUUUCAUCCGAGCUCAGUGACAUUCAAGGGGGUGAAAAGUACCCAUUCUUUGAAGAGAACAGAAAGCCUUUUUGUAUAAAAUUCAGUUCUAGGAUGUACACUGAGAUACAGUGUAUGUGUGGAAUUGAAAAUUCAUUUGGGGUUCUAGAAAAUGCUUAAAAAGACUGUUGGGAAAUAAUAAAAAUGGUUGAAAACAGUGAUAUAAAGAAAAUAACUGCCGGGCAUUGGUGGCACAUGCCUUUAAUCCCAGCGUUUGGGAGGCAGAGGCAG